rnacentral:lncRNA from 1 species
CAGACCGCCGAACGGACAGAGUUUCUCCUAUACGUCCUAAGCGUCGCAAUCAAUACAAUACAAGGGUUCUAACCAGGAACAGUAUUCAAUGUACAGAUUGCAUAAGGAAGUAUCAAAAACAUAAACAGCUAACUAUUACAAGCAUUCACAUACAUGCUUUUACAUUUCAAUUACAUAUUACAUUCAACUUCCAAAUUACAAUCUAGUUAUUACAAAUUUAUUACAAGUUU